AGAGUUUGAUCCUGGCUCAGAAUCAACGCUGGCGGCGUGCCUAACACAUGCAAGUCGAACGCGAAAGCCCCGCAAGGGGUAAGUAGAGUGGCAAACGGGUGAGUAACACGUGGGUGACCUGCCUUCGAGUGGGGGAUAACGUCCCGAAAGGGACGCUAAUACCGCAUGACAUCCUGCCUUUGGAAAGGCGGAGAUCAAAGCUGGGGAUCGCAAGACCUGGCGCUUGAAGAGGGGCCCGCGCCUGAUUAGCUAGUUGGUAGGGUAACGGCCUACCAAGGCAACGAUCAGUAUCCGGCCUGAGAGGGCGGACGGACACACUGGGACUGAGACACGGCCCAGACUCCUACGGGAGGCAGCAGUGGGGAAUUGUUCGCAAUGGGCGCAAGCCUGACGACGCAACGCCGCGUGGAGGACGAAGAUCUUCGGGUCGUAAACUCCUGUCGAGCGGGAAGAACAUCUUUCCAAUGAAUAAGUGGAAGGACUGACGGUACCGCUAAAGGAAGCCCCGGCUAACUCCGUGCCAGCAGCCGCGGUAAUACGGGGGGGGCAAGCGUUGUUCGGAAUUACUGGGCGUAAAGGGCUCGUAGGCGGCCAACUAAGUCGGAUGUGAAAUCCCCAGGCUCAACCUGGGAACUGCAUCCGAUGCUGGAUGGCUUGAAUUCGGGAGAGGGAUGCAGAAUUCCAGGUGUAGCGGUGAAAUGCGUAUAUAUCUGGAGGAAUACCGGUGGUGAAGGCGGCAUCCUGGACCGACUUGACGCUGAUGAGCGAAAGCUAAGGGGAAUCAAACGGGGAU
rnacentral:rRNA from 1 species